rnacentral:rRNA from 1 species
UACAGGGGGGGCAAGCGUUGUUCGGAAUUACUGGGCGUAAAGGGUUCGUAGGUGGCCAACUAAGUCAGACGUGAAAUCCCUCAGCUUAACUGGGGAACUGCGUCUGAUACUGGAUGGCUUGAGUGCAGGAGAGGAAUGCGGAAUUCCAGGUGUAGCGGUGAAAUGCGUAGAUAUCUGGAGGAACACCGGUGGCGAAGGCGGCAUUCUGGACUGUAACUGACACUGAGGAACGAAAGCCAGGGGAGCAAACGGG